UACGUAGGGUGCGAGCGUUGUCCGGAAUUAUUGGGCGUAAAGAGCUUGUAGGCGGUUUGUCGCGUCUGCUGUGAAAAUCCGGGGCUCAACCCGGACUUGCAGUGGGUACGGGGCAGGCUAGAGUGUGGUAGGGGAGACUGGAAUUCCUGGUGUAGCGGUGAAAUGCGCAGAUAUCAGGAGGAGCACCAAUAGCGAAGGCAGCUCGCUGGGACGUUACUGACACUGAGGCGCGAAAGCGUGGGGAGCGAACAGG
rnacentral:rRNA from 1 species